GGAGGGAAGAGCUCAGUGGUAGAGCGCGUGCUUAGCAUGCACCAGGUCCUGGGUUCAAUUCCCAGUACCUCCA
rnacentral:tRNA from 1 species